rnacentral:rRNA from 1 species
AUUGAACGCUGGCGGCCGGCCUAACACAUGCAAGUCGAACGAGUGGCGGACGGGUGAGUAAUGUCUGGGAAAAUGCCCGAUGGAGGGGGAGAACUACUGGCAACGGUAGCUAAUACCGCAUACCAUCGGAUGUGCCCAUGUGGGUGUAGCUAGUAUGUGGGGUAACGGCUCACCUAGGCGACGACCCCUAGCUGGUCUGAGAGGAUGACCAGUGACACUGGACCUUAGACACGGUCUAGACUCCUACGGGAGGCAGUAGUGGGGAAUUUUGCACAAGGGGCGCAAGCCUGAUGCAGCCAUGCCGCGUGUAUGAAGAAUGCCUUCGGGUUGUAAAGUACUUGCAGCGAGGAGGUGUUCCUCGCACCAGAAGCACCGGCUAACUCCGUGCCAGCAGCCGCGGUAAUAC